UCAACAGCUUUGAUCAGGAGUGUUAAAUAGGUUAGAUCAAAAGAGAGUGCACGUUAGCUGAGAAGUGCAUGGUUGAAAUAUUUAAUUGUUACCUGUGAGCUAUCAAAAGUCGAUCGGGCCACCGUUAUCUGUUGAGAGGAGAGUCUAUUUUAGUAGAUUCUCAAUUUAGGUGGUACCGCGAGCAUUCGUCCUAUAU
rnacentral:ncRNA from 1 species